UGGGCUAGUUCGGGGAGUUAGCGGUUCCCUGUUGCCGGCAAUCCGCUCCAGCCGGGAACGAGGCCGCGAGGCGGUUUGCAUUCAUGGCUGCUUCCCGCCCAAUCGUGGACCUUCUGUCCGCCGAGGCUGCCUGCAGGAGCCAACCCCGCGAGGCCCGGAAGGGUGCAGCGGUAACUUUUGCAUUCGGUGCUUGGCGCAAACGGAAGCGAGAAAGGGACCGGGGCAAAAAGGCAUCCAUGCCUGCGUAAUCCACUUGCGGCGGCCCA
rnacentral:SRP_RNA from 1 species